GUUUUAAUACCACUAAAGAGCUGAAUUAAGAAAGCUCAAUUUGUGGCGAUCUUAUUUUCGAGGGAUUUUCAAGGAAAUCAUCGAGAUUUGAGCCGUCCGGAGGUAGCUUCACUCGCGAAGAUCAUUUAAAGACUCGGUUUAGUUUCGUCGAGGUAAGUAUCUUGCCUAACCUUGUGUGAGAGAAUUUUUCCUUAGGCAUUGAGUCUUAUAUGAAAAUUGUGUGAUUGAAAGCCAUAUACGCGAUGUGACGAGUACAUGCUUAGUUUAUAUGUGCAAAGUAUACCGGUUAAAAUUUGUAGACACCCUUAUGUAUUAAAUUAAAAAAUUGUUGUAACUUAUUAAAUCCUUUAUUUGUCAUGCCUCACUCCUUACUUGCCGAGGUUGUUUUUAUGUGAUAAUUUAGUGUGAUUGUCACUUUAAUUUUUAUGUGAGAUGUCGUGGUUGGUUGGGUUGACAUUUCUUGGAAAUAAUUUCAUUAUGGAUUCUUCAUCUGCAAAUAAUUAAUUAAAUAUGUUAAAAAAGAGGCAUUAAUAUAUUUAUCAAAAAUUUGGAUUAAAGAAGUCGUUGUCCUAUGCGGAGCUAUUUUUCCUAUCCUUGUUAUUGUUUUUGUGGUUUUAUAUACAUUGUAUUGAGCCGUGGGCUAUCUGCUGUGAAAUGGAUUGAUUUAGUUGUACCUUUGGAAAGGUUGUGGCAUACGAGCAAUUUGUAAAUACGAGUUGAUUAUGCUGUGUUGUUGUGAUAAUAUUUUGUGUGAAUUGUUGUGUGAUUGGGUUACUGUUAUGUGGCAUAUAAGGGUGGUAUUCCACUAUUGAUUUUAUGCGAGUAUAAGGGUGGCAUUUCACUGUUGUUAUGUGUGUUGGGAUAUUAUUUGGGCGGAGCGAUAAGGGAGGCUAUUAAACAGAGCGAUAAGGGAGGCUAUUAUAGGAGUGAUAAGGGUGGUUAUAGGAGCGAUAAAGGUGGCUAUUGAUAUUGUCAAGGCGGAGGGAUAAGGGAGGCUAUUAUAGGAGUGAUGCGGGUGGCUAUAGGAGAGAUAAGGGUGACUAUUAUCAGGGAUGAUAUGUGAUGAUGUGGGGUUAUUGUGCUGGCAAUUUUCAUGUGAUGUUGUGAUUUUCUUUGUGUUUAUUUUUAUAUCUUAUGCAACUUGUCUUGUUAUUUCGGUAAACUUGAUAAUAGUCUGAUCUAUGUUGAAAUUGUGAGUUUGUGGCUAUUGCCGGACGGAUUAUGAUAUUGGCACGUGAAUUGUCCGUGCAUAUGUGAUAUGAAAUGUGGGCACGAGGUGCCAGAAAAAUAUAAUGAUUAUGUUAUUGGCACGCGAACUAUCCGUGCAGAUGUGAUAUGAAAUGCGGGCACGAGAUGUUGGGGAAAUAUAAUGAUUUUUAUUAUUGACACGUGAGUUGUCCGUGUGAUUUUGAUAAAAAUAUGGGCAUAAGGUGCCGUGGAAAUAUGAAAGUGGGCUGAGACCCGUGUUACGAAAAUAUGAAAGUGGGCGAAGACCCGUGAUUUAUGAUUGUGAAAUGAGAUAUCAUAGAUUGACUUUUAUUUGAAAGAAUUUAUAUUCGAAAGAUAUUUAUUUGAAAGAAUUAUAUUCGAAAGAUAUUUAUUUGAAAGAAGUAUAAUCGGAAGGCAUUUAUUCAAAAGAAUUAUAUGUGAAAGAUUUAUAUUGGAAAGACUUGACUAAUUGGUUAUACUUGUGUUUCUUAUUCGUUUGAGCAAUAAUUAUGGUGUUCUUGUUGCCUUACUGUUUAUAUCACUGGUUGAUUUUGUUGCUAUCAUUGCUAGUUAUUUUUCAGUACUAUUGUAUACUGCUAUAUUACACAGGUUAUUUGAUUAGUGAGUGUCUUGACUGUACCUCGUCACUGCUCUAUCGAGAUUAGUCUUGAUACUUAUUGGGUACCGACCGUGGUGUACUCAUACUACACUUUUGCACAUUUUUGUGUAGAGCCAGGUAUUGGAGAUAUCAGACUCAGGCAGAGUUAGAGUGUGAUCGCAAGGAUUCAAGGUAGAGCUGCUUGGUCAUCGCAGUCCCUUGGAGUCUUUUUAUUUUAUUGUACUAUCAACUCUUAUUCGAAC
rnacentral:lncRNA from 1 species